CUACGGAGGGUGCAAGCGUUACUCGGAAUCACUGGGCGUAAAGCGCGCGCAGGCGGUCUUUUAAGUUGGAUGUGAAAGCCUACAGCUCAACUGUAGAACUGCAUCCAAAACUAUUAGACUAGAGUCUGGGAGGGGAAGAUGGAAUUAGUUGUGUAGGGGUAAAAUCCGUAGAGAUAACUAGGAAUACCAAAAGCGAAGGCGAUCUUCUGGAACAGUACUGACGCUGAGGCGCGAAAGCGUGGGGAGCAAACAGGAUUAGAUACCCCGGUAGUCC
rnacentral:rRNA from 1 species